rnacentral:rRNA from 1 species
UACGAGGGGAGCAAGCGUUGUUCGGAUUUACUGGGCGUAAAGGGCGCGUAGGCGGUCGUGACAAGUCACUUGUGAAAUCUCCGGGCUUAACUCGGAACGGUCAAGUGAUACUGUCGGACUAGAGUACAGAAGGGGCAACUGGAAUUCUCGGUGUAGCGGUGAAAUGCGUAGAUAUCGAGAGGAACACCUGCGGCGAAGGCGGGUUGCUGGGCUGACACUGACGCUGAUGCGCGAAAGCCAGGGGAGCGAACGGG